ACUUAUGCCAAACAAGCACCUAGCUACUGUCAAAUGAUAAAAAAUCUUCAGCACCAGUAUAUCUUUUGAGUCUGCCCUGAAUUGGGUUGUGGAUUUUCAGAGUUCCGUUCUUGCUCCUUCCAGUUUUGUUGAGGCAUUGUUGUACAUCUGUGACAUCGUCUCUUCAAAAUGGCUUCUGGACGCCGAAAAGACACACCGGCGCCUCCUCUUUUUCUCAGAGGAAAACUGAAGCCUGCUAAUCUCCUUCCCUCUAAGUUCCAGAAGGAGAAGUUUCUGAACAUCAAGAAGGAGGCCAGAACUGGGGGGACUGGUCUGCCCAGAAUUGGCCCAAUUCUAGACUUUGAGUUCGAUGCUGAUCAAAAGCUGCCGCCAGUUCCCCAGAAACAGAACCUGUUUCGGGUUUCCCCAUCAGAGGUGGUAUUUCAGAACUUCGUCGCUCAUGAGGUCUCUGAAAUGGAGCUGGCUCUCACCAAUAAGGACAAGGUAAGUGCUGGGAUGUGGAGCUUUAACGCCGUGCUGGAAGAGGGGAGUGGUGUUAUUCCCAUAGUGUACAGCAAAGCAAGUGAUCUGCUGCAGCACACCCAGAAGAAAAUGUCUCAGCACCUUUGUUCUGCAGGAUGGUGGAAAUCUUGUUGUGCCAGGAAUUCUCCCAUGAUUUUGGCCAUGCAUGGAUGGUAUCUAUCCCAAAGGAUCUUCCUUCCCUUGAAAGCUCUGUACUGAUAGGAAUGUGGAGGGCUGUACAGUUCAUACCUGCUCUCAUGCUUUGCCUUGAGUCUGUACCACAUCCCGUGUCUCCUUGGGUCCUGGUAGGAAUCUCUGCCUCUCUCAGCCUGUUUGGCUCCCUUUGUGCAGCUCAAUAUCAAAGCUCAGGGGCUGAAUCUUCUCCACUUUAUGCUGGAAUCACUUAUCACUAAUGGCAUUGGUACUGCAGGAAAUGUGUUCUGAAACAGCCCUGGAGUCAGACUGAUGCAGCAGAAGCAGUGAGAGGCCUUUAGGUGCCACUUCAGGCUCCUGCUAAGCUUCAUCCAGCUCUGCUCAGGUUUUCCAAAAGCAACGUGGUGCUCUGCUUUCCCUUUGGAGAACCACAGCACAUCCAAAGCCAUGUGCUCCUGGAGGACUUCACCUUCACUUGAAGCAAUUGUGAUUGUUUUGCAGUUUCCCAAGAGAGUUGAGAGGGGAAAAAGUUGAAAAAUGUCAGCAGUUGUGUUCCACUGUAAAGAGGAAAAUUGAAACCAUUUGAAUUUCAGUCAGGGAAACAUUUUCUCAAGUGAGGCUUGUGCCGAGAGUGGACUGGUGGGAAGAGCCAGGAGGGAGUCAAAAUCAUCUGGUUUAGACUUUUUGAGAGCAUUUGGGUGCUCAGGGGUUGAUAUCUAUGUGCUAG
rnacentral:lncRNA from 1 species